rnacentral:pre_miRNA from 1 species
CUACGUCACUGGUGCCGUAUCAGCCAAUGCAUUCUACAUGUCCUAGCUGCUUCUACACUGCGUCGAUCUUCUGUAAAUGCAUUAUCUGGUAUGUAACUCAGUGACGCCU